rnacentral:rRNA from 1 species
GAUGAACGCUGGCGGCGUGCCUAAUACAUGCAAGUCGAGCGAACGGACGAGAAGCUUGCUUCUCUGAUGUUAGCGGCGGACGGGUGAGUAACACGUGGAUAACCUACCUAUAAGACUGGGAUAACUUCGGGAAACCGGAGCUAAUACCGGAUAAUAUUUUGAACCGCAUGGUUCAAAAGUGAAAGACGGUCUUGCUGUCACUUAUAGAUGGAUCCGCGCUGCAUUAGCUAGUUGGUAAGGUAACGGCUUACCAAGGCAACGAUGCAUAGCCGACCUGAGAGGGUGGUCGGCCACACUGGAACUGAGACACGGUCCAGACUCCUACGGGAGGCAGCAGUAGGGAAUCUUCCGCAAUGGGCGAAAGCCUGACGGAGCAACGCCGCGUGAGUGAUGAAGGUCUUCGGAUCGUAAAACUCUGUUAUUAGGGAAGAACAUAUGUGUAAGUAACUGUGCACAUCUUGACGGUACCUAAUCAGAAAGCCACGGCUAACUACGUGCCAGCAGCCGCGGUAAUACGUAGGUGGCAAGCGUUAUCCGGAAUUAUUGGGCGUAAAGCGCGCGUAGGCGGUUUUUUAAGUCUGAUGUGAAAGCCCACGGCUCAACCGUGGAGGGUCAUUGGAAACUGGAAAACUUGAGUGCAGAAGAGGAAAGUGGAAUUCCAUGUGUAGCGGUGAAAUGCGCAGAGAUAUGGAGGAACACCAGUGGCGAAGGCGACUUUCUGGUCUGUAACUGACGCUGAUGUGCGAAAGCGUGGGGAUCAAACAGGAUUAGAUACCCUGGUAGUCCACGCCGUAAACGAUGAGUGCUAAGUGUUAGGGGGUUUCCGCCCCUUAGUGCUGCAGCUAACGCAUUAAGCACUCCGCCUGGGGAGUACGACCGCAAGGUUGAAACUCAAAGGAAUUGACGGGGACCCGCACAAGCGGUGGAGCAUGUGGUUUAAUUCGAAGCAACGCGAAGAACCUUACCAAAUCUUGACAUCCUUUGACAACUCUAGAGAUAGAGCCUUCCCCUUCGGGGGACAAAGUGACAGGUGGUGCAUGGUUGUCGUCAGCUCGUGUCGUGAGAUGUUGGGUUAAGUCCCGCAACGAGCGCAACCCUUAAGCUUAGUUGCCAUCAUUAAGUUGGGCACUCUAAGUUGACUGCCGGUGACAAACCGGAGGAAGGUGGGGAUGACGUCAAAUCAUCAUGCCCCUUAUGAUUUGGGCUACACACGUGCUACAAUGGACAAUACAAAGGGCAGCGAAACCGCGAGGUCAAGCAAAUCCCAUAAAGUUGUUCUCAGUUCGGAUUGUAGUCUGCAACUCGACUACAUGAAGCUGGAAUCGCUAGUAAUCGUAGAUCAGCAUGCUACGGUGAAUACGUUCCCGGGUCU